rnacentral:rRNA from 1 species
AAACUUUACAAUGCGGGAAACCGUGAUAAGGGGACACCGAGUGCUAGCAUCAUAUGCUGGCUGUCCAGGUGUGUAAAAUACACCUGUUAGCAAGGGCCGGGCAAGACCGGUGCCAGCCGCCGCGGUAACACCGGCGGCCCGAGUGGUGAUCGUGAUUAUUGGGUCUAAAGGGUCCGUAGCCGGUUUGGUCAGUCCUCCGGGAAAUCUGAUAGCUCAACUAUUAGGCUUUCGGGGGAUACUGCCAGACUUGGAACCGGGAGAGGUAAGAGGUACUACAGGGGUAGGAGUGAAAUCUUGUAAUCCCUGUGGGACCACCUGUGGCGAAGGCGUCUUACCAGAACGGGUUCGACGGUGAGGGACGAAAGCUGGGGGCACGAACCGGAUUAGAUACCCGGGUAGUCCCAGCCGUAAACGAUGCUCGCUAGGUGUCAGGCAUGGCGCGACCGUGUCUGGUGCCGCAGGGAAGCCGUGAAGCGAGCCACCUGGGAAGUACGGCCGCAAGGCUGAAACUUAAAGGAAUUGGCGGGGGAGCA